ACAAAUUCCGGUCGCUAAAAUUAUUAUCUUUACUAAUAAUUAGUAAAGGGAUUGGUAAAACUACAAAUUCGGUCGUUAAUGCAUAUAAUUGAGCGAGAAAAGAUGCUACAUUAAUUAUGCCACUAAUUAUUUCUAAUCACCAAUUUCUUCCUAUUAGAUUAAAAAAGAGAGAGAGAAAAAGUUUUCCUCCUCCACUCCCACUGGGGUUAGUUUGAUUUGGCUCUCCAUCAUAGCAGCCAUGGAAAAACUUCCGAGUGGGGAAUUUGGUCAAGAAAUUACAGAUCCUCUAAAAAUUACUGUCGUAGAGAUAAUGGAUGGACUAGGGCUGCUAGAUAAGGCUGAAUACAUGACUAUCUAAGGUCUAAGGACAUUGAUCCCGUGAUUAAAGAUCAUAAUACAGAUUCUCAUUGCUGAUUUGAAUCUUUUGCGGAGCAGCUCUUAAGAUUUGGAGACUCGAUCAGCUCUUGAUAUUCAGAGUUGCCUAUCUCCCUUAUCAUUGGAUAUGACUAGGUUAUAUUUUGUUUUGAGAGAUAGUUUGUACUUAUAUCUUAUUUUGUAUAAGCUUUUACUUUGGUUUGAGUAGGAGCUGAACUAUGUACUGAUACCAGGUCUUAGAGGUUUAUUUCUGUAUUUAUUUGAUUC